GACAGAGGUGCCGAGCGUUAGGCGGAAUCACUGGGCUUAAAGCGUGUGUAGGCGGACUUCUAAGUGCCUUGUGAAAUCCCACGGCUCAACCGUGGAACUGCUGGGCAUACUGGGAGUCUUGGGCCAUUCAGGGGGCAACUGGAACAAGCGGUGGAGCGGUGAAAUGCGUAGAUAUCGAGAGGAACACCUGCGGCGAAGGCGGGUUGCUGGGCUGAUACUGACGCUGAGGCGCGAAAGCUAGGGGAGCGAACGGG
rnacentral:rRNA from 1 species